rnacentral:rRNA from 1 species
GCAUAUCAAUAAGCGGAGGAAAAGAAACCAACAGGGAUUGCUCUAGUAACGGCGAGUGAAGCAGCAAUAGCUCAAAUUUGAAAUCUGGCGUCUUCGACGUCCGAGUUGUAAUUUGUAGAGGAUGCUUCUGAGUGGCCACCGACCUAAGUUCCUUGGAACAGGACGUCAUAGAGGGUGAGAAUCCCGUAUGCGGUCGGAAAGGCGCUCUAUACGUAGCUCCUUCGACGAGUCGAGUUGUUUGGGAAUGCAGCUCUAAAUGGGAGGUAAAUUUCUUCUAAAGCUAAAUAUUGGCCAGAGACCGAUAGCGCACAAGUAGAGUGAUCGAAAGAUGAAAAGCACUUUGGAAAGAGAGUUAAAAAGCACGUGAAAUUGUUAAAAGGGAAGGGAUUGCAACCAGACUUGCUCGCGGUGUUCCGCCGGUCUUCUGACCGGUCUACUCGCCGCGUUGCAGGCCAGCAUCGUCUGGUGCCGCUGGAUAAGACUUGAGGAAUGUAGCUCCCUCGGGAGUGUUAUAGCCUCUUGUGAUGCAGCGAGCGCCGGGCGAGGUCCGCGCUCGAUAGGAUGCUGACAAAAACGAGGUGUCA